GUCUUCUGGCAUGGGAAACACUACUGGAAAAGACAAAUGGUGAUGAGGAUGGCAGCCUUGAGAAGAACAGAAAACACUCAAAUGAAGAUAUCUGGGGACCUGUGCUUUCACUGCUUUGCAGACAAUGACACUGGCACAAUUCCACAAAACACCUAACGUUCCUGGUGUGCAGAGUAGAUUUCUUUCACUACUGUAGAGAACAAGGGGUGUGCCCACUGCUAAUGCAAGAAUUUGCUGAAGAGUUGCAGAUAGCUUUUCCUCUGUAAACUCUUCACUCAAUCUGUCAACCCUUUCCUAAAGGUUUCCUUUGGCAAUGCAUUUAAAAACUGCUUGGAUCUCAAGAGCUUCAAAUGUAGAGGAUGUAAACCAUCGUCCAGAAGUCUGAAACAGAACUAGAUGCUGCAUUAUCCAGUGACCUGGAAUAAAAGCAAAAGGGUCUCAGGAGAGCUUGCAGGGGUCAGGCAGUCCAUGGCCUGCCUUGCAGCAAGCUCAGAUCUACCCAGGACAUAACUCAACAAUGCUGGUCUGCCUUGUUCUUAAAAAAAUCUCCUGUGGAGAGAUUCUGCUACCUCGUGAAAUAUACUGUUCUGGUAAGUACUUGUCCACAGCUGCCUGUUGAUUUGUAACAGCUCUGUGAAGAUGGACAAGUCUCAACCUAGAAUCCCCUACUCGGUUAUUCUGCUGCUGCUGUUAAAAAAAAAUGGUUUUGGUCUGCACCAGAUUAUUAAUUUUUGAAGGUCUAUAACAUGGGGAAGACUGGAGCUCUUCACUUUUCAAGUAUAUUCUCCAACUUUAGAAGCAAAAUGAGGAGGGUCCCCCAGCGAUCCUGAGCUCAAAAACAAAGCAAACUUAUGGAAACUGAAAUUUCAGCAAAUGCCAGCCAAGCUCAGACUUCUAGGCUUGUUAGGCAUCUGGCUGCACAGCAAGGAGUCUGUCAGCCCUUUGAAAUGCAUUUCUAAGCACUACUAUGGGCAGCGUGGGCAGGGAGGUGGAAGGGCAGACAAAUUUCCCUUGAAAGGUUAAAUUAAACACGUGUCCCUGAUAAAUAUGCAAAUUACUGAAUUGGCACAUUCCUAUAGGGAAAUAAAGAGUCCAGUCUAUGAUUGCUAACCGUCCUUUCAGAACCUUCCCUCCUUCCGCAAUGUUAUUAUCAAAUAUGCUAAACCUUUCCCCUCAGAUAGUUGUAACAAUAUUUUUCCAUGGAUUUUCUGGGUCAUGGUACAGAUGCAAGGUUCUUUAAGGUCAUUCUACAAGAUCUUUUUUUUGUGUGUGUGCUUUCUUGUAUCAGGCCUCUGUAUGGACAGACUCCAACUUUAGUCUGAAAGUUUUCCAGACAAGAGCCUUAUUGCACAUGGGUUAUGUGGUAAGUGAUCUAAUAAAUGGAUGAAAAAUACUGAACUUCGUAUAUGUCUGCAGUUUUGUGUCAGUGCAUCCCUUACAGCCUGAAAUAUAAUCAGCUUUCCUUAUGAUUAAUACUGAGCUGGUAAGGAAACAAACUGCCUGCAUACAGACAUUUCAGGGGAAUGUCUCUCUGAGUGGGUUCAGCUCUUGGGUUCACUUUCCAAGAACUGCAAAGAUGUAGUUAGGCCUUUUCAGUUUGUCUGUUUAUCAGCUGGAACACCAAUAUUUACCAUUCUGCACAUUGUUCCAUUAAUGCUUUUACACCUCCUGACAAUGCUUUUGCAAAAGUUAAAAAGAGACCUCAGCUACAGCAAAAGCUUUUGCCUGUGGAAAUAAACACUGCUGCUUCUCAGCUGCAACACCACUGCUACUCGGCUGCCUUUCAAGCCCAGGGUUAUGAGGAGUGUUUGCAGAAAAAUGCACGCUGAAUGAAGAGCACUUUCUUUUCUGCUUAUGCUUUGUUCCCUUUCACAACACAUGGAAUUUAAAUGCCUCAGUCAGUGACCAGGUUGUUCUUUGUUUUGAUGGAAUAUGUUAUUCUCUUCCCCAAAAGCUUAGAGCAUCUACAAAACCACAAGUGGUUUCUUUACAAAGGAGGGAGGGGCAAAGCUAUUCUUUCUAAUACUUAGGCAAGAGGAAGUGCAAUCAAAUGCUGCUCAGUUGCAAAAAUGAAUUGAAUGUCAAGGCAAGACUUAGCAUAGUGCAGACAAUUCAGGAUGGGGACAGGACUCUACUAUGUAAUUGUUACAAGAUGUUCCCUCUCCACGGUAGUGGAAAGGGACAGGCAUGCAGCUGUCAGGCAUGCUGUCCUUCAUUUCCAGUGCUGGAAAAUGUGCCAUUAAAAAUACCCAUA